rnacentral:lncRNA from 1 species
UUUCAUAGUUUUGAUGUCUUCACGAUUAUUCUACAAUUUAGAAAAUAGUAAAAAUAAUGAAAAACCCUUGAAUGGGUAGGUGUGUCCAAACUUUUGACUGGUACUGUAUAUAUAUAAAAUAUGUUUACCCCUGUUGUCAAAGAGGUGGUCAUAAGCUCUAUACAAUCCAUCCAUAUGAACAGUUGUAUACAGUAUGUCAAGUGAAAUGACUUACGUAGCCCAUCGUGUGGCUCAUGUUGAUGUUGUGUAGGCCUUAUGAACUCCCCUUCAUCCCAAAGUAUAGUCAAUGUAAUGUUCAUCCCAAAGCACUACCGAAUUAUAUUUAUACUCGAGCAUUUCUUUUUUUGGUCAUGAAUCCUGACCUGAAAUGGCUAGUCUGAAUGAAUCACUGGCUAAAGGAUCUACUUGAAGGAUUGCAUGUAUGAAAUUGUUAAAAACUAGAUAGUUGCUUGGAAUUGAACUUCUUGAUUGUACAUUUUAUAAUAGACAUGUUUCAAACUCUACAGAUAACUAUUGUAUAAAGUACAAUUGUUUCUUUUUACGAAUGGAAUUUAGAUAUCAUUUUAAAUAAUGUAUUUUUUAUUAUGUCAUAUCCAUACGUUCGUCAGACUAUGAACAUUGUGUUGUGGAUUUUAUAUCAUACAAUUUCAACAUAUAACAUGAAGGCCAAAUCAAGAGGUUAACCCUCUCUGCAGUAUACACUGUAAUAUAUACAAUGCAAGGAAAAGGUGUUCCAUAUAUUUAUUGUAUAAGUUAAUAUAUAUUACAUAUCUAAAAAGUGUGUGUUUGUUGAAAGAAUUUGUGUGUCAAUCAAAUUGCUAAGUUGAGUUGAAAGCGUAUCAACCAUGUAAUGCCUUUGUGUUCUUUAAAAUAAGGUAUAUCCCAAGUUUUAGUAUACUGAGAUAUGAGAAUUACUAUACUGAGAUGUGAGUCUUACUAACUAUACUGAGAUAUGAAUAUUACUAUACUAAGAUACAGUUGAAGUCGGAAGUUUACAUACACCUUAGCCAAAUACAUUUAAACUCAGUUUUUCACAAUUCCUGACAUUUAAUCCUAGUAAAAAUUCCCUGUUUUAGGUCAGUUAGGAUCACAAUUUUAUUUUAAGAAUAUGAAAUGUCAGAAUAAUAGUAGAGAGAAUGAUUUAUUUCAGAUUUUAUUUCUUUCAUCACAUUCCCAGUGGGUCAGAAGUUUCCAUACACUCAAAUAGUAUGGGUCAAACGUUUCGAGGAGCCUUCCACAAGCUUCCCACAAUAAGUUGGGUGAAUUUUGUCCCAUUCCUCCUGACAUAGCUGGUGUAACUGAGUCAGGUUUGUAGGCCUCCUUGCUCGCACAGGCUUUUUCAGUUCUGCCCACAAAUUUUCUAUGGGAUUUAGGCCAGGGCUUUGUGAUGGCCACUCCAAUACCUUGACUUUGUUGUCCUUAAGCCAUUUUGCCACAACUUUGGAAGUAUGCUUGGGGUCAUUGUCCAUUUAGAAGACCCAUUGCGACCAAGAUUUAACUUCCUGUCUGAUGUCUUGAGAUGUUGCUUCAAUAUAUCCCCAUCAUUUUCCUCCCUCAUGAUGCCAUCUAUUUUGUGAAGUGCACCAGUCCCUCCUGCAGCAAAGCACCCUCACAACAUGAUGCUGCCACCCCUGUGCUUCACGGUUGGGAUGGUGUACUUCGGCUUGCAAGCCUCCCCCUUUUUCCUCCAAACAUAACAAUGGUCAUUAUGGCCAAACAAUUCUAUUUUUGUUUCAUCAGACCAGAGGACAUUUCUCCAAAAAGUACAAUCUUUGUCCCCAUGUGCAGUUGCAAACCGUAAUCUGGCUUUAUUUAUGGCGGUUUUGGAGCGGCCUUUCAGGUUAUGUUGAUAUAGGACUCGUUUUACUGUGGAUAUAGAUUAUUUUGUACCUGUUUCCUCAAGCAUCUUCACAAGGUCCUUUGCUGUUGUUCUGGGAUUGAUUUGCACUUUUUGCACCAAAGUACGUUCAUCUCUAAGACACAGAAUGCGUCUCCUUCCUGAGCGGUAUGGUGGCUGUGUGGUCCCAUGCUGUUUAUACUUGCGUACUAUUGUUUGUACAGAUGAACGUGGUACCUUCAGGCGUUUGGAAAUUGCUCCCAAGGAUGAACCAGACUUGUGGGGGUCUACAAUUGUUUUUCUGAGGUCUUGGCUGAUUUCUUUAGAUUUUCCCAUGAUGUCAAGUAAAGAGGCACUGAGUUUGAAGGUAGGCCUUGAAAUACAUCCACAGGUGCACCUCCAAUUGACUCAAAUUGGAGGUGGACAUUAGACUAUCAGAAGCUUCUAAAGCCAUGACAUAAUUUUCUGGAAUUUUCCAAGCUGUUUAAAGGCACAGUCAACUUAGUUUAUGUAAACUUCUGACCCACUGGAAUUGUGAUACAGUGAAUUAUAAGUGCAAUAAUCUGUCUGUAAACAAUUGUUGGAAAAAAUACUUGUGUCAUGCACAAAGUAGAUGUCCUAACCGACUUGCUAAAACUAAAGUUUGUUAACAAGGAAUGUGUGGAGUGGUUGAAAAACGAGUUUUAAUGACUCCAACUUUAGUGUAUGUAUAUGGCCGACUUCAACUGUAUGAGUAUUACUAUACUGAGAUAUGAGUCUUACUAACUACACUGAGAUAUGAGUCUUACUAACUACACUGAUAUAUGUGUGUUACUAUGCUGAAGUGUGAGUCUUACUUUACUGAGUCCAUUGUGUAAUUGUCUGGGUUGAUUAAGAUUUUAGAUGUCAUAGAAUCAUGAAAUAACAAUGGCUUUGCCACAUAUCCCUUGGAAACCACCAUAGAUUGUUUUUCAAAAGAUUUAUCACACUGUUUGUGCGUUGCUUUUAGAGUUAUAUUUUGUAUGCACUGAUUGAACCUUUAAUGUUGCUACCUUGUCUAUGACAGGAACAGUAUAAUAAGGAAGUCACUUUCCUGCAUCUGAGAACAGUGUCUCUACUAUAGGCACUGUGCUUCUGUCCGUCAAGAUCAAAUAAUGUUUACAUUUUUAGAUUUACAGGGAUGUUGUCAUGGCAUCAAAUGGAGGGUGACUGAAGGUGCGUCUAUGGAGGUCAUAUACCUAUACAGACCUGUAUUUAUUCUUUGCACUGGUUUGACUGACAAGUGCACUUUAUGGUGGACGUUUACAUCAAGUAGGCCAAAAGAACCACUUGCUUUACGAAGUCCACGCACUCCAACGUUGUCCUUCAUGUAUGGAUGCUUUACAUGAUAUUGUAAAUACUCCGUUCUCCCUGCACAGGUUAGCUUUGAAGGAUGUGUCCAUGCAGCUAGUGCCAAGCGACAAAGCUUGACCUUACUCGUCUCCUAUUGUAACGUCCCAUCUAGUGUUCUGUUGUCACUGUCAUUAAGCCCUUUCCUAGUGUCCUUGCAGUACAAAAGGUGACAUUUCCAAGUGGUAUUUUUCUUAAGUUGAGCUCCUGCUGCUGCUCUGUUUGCUACAGUGCUGCCUGGUAAGCAGAGUGUCACUGUGAUUGACUUGAAUUAAAUGGCUCCCGUUAGGACACACACAUGAACACACGCACGCACGCAUGCUGCGCACACACAUACACACCAAUAGAAAGGUGGCUAGGCUGUUCCCGUUAGGAUGAUGAGGAGAUGGCUGGUUGUGAAACCUCUACAGCAGCUGUGUCAGCAGUCUGGUAGAGCUAGCAGGCUUCAUGCAUCAUUUCCUUCUGACAUCCCUCUUGCCUGUUUGCUUUUACCCCCAAAGGGCCAAGUUCUGUUUGUCUGUUUGCCCAAAGGUUUACAUUGUUCGUGAAGUAAAGGUUUGAGUUUUCAUGCUCUCCAAGGGCAUGUGUGGAUUUUGAUUCUGAUGUCCAUGCUUUACAGGUUGUGUGGUUUAAUUUAUUGAUAUGUCAUAAUAGUUUUAUUGUGUGUCUGUAUUUUCCUGAAGGUACAGAAUACAGUCACUGUAGGCCUACACAUCUUUAUACUCAACAUACAGCUCUAUUCAAUGGAUUUUGAUCAUUGUUUCUUUGGUCAAACAAAACAUUCUGAUAGGAAAAUGCUUGUCUGCUUUUGCACCGUCAGACAGGUCUUCUGUUCUGGUGCUGUUAUGAAGAGAUGAACACUUUCCAUUUCAAAUGAUUUGAACUUGGUUAUUCAUGGUUAUUCUUCCUUAGUUCAUGUUUACCCCUACAGUAGAUAUGACUUACCUCUGUCAGCAUAACAACCCCUGAUAUGGUUGUGUGUGUGUGUGUGUGUGUGUGUGUGUGUGUCAGUCACAGGCCGACUGGUGGCACCUUAAUUGGGGAGGACGGGCUCAUAGUAAUGGCUGGAAUGGAAUAACUGGAAUGGUAUCGAACACCAUUCCAUUCACUCCAUUCCAGCCAUUAUAUUGAGCAGUCCUCCCCUCAGCAGCCUCCUGUGGUGUGUGUGUGUCCUCUAUGUGUGCUUCUGUAUAAAAUGCUCCAAGGGGAUACCUAGUCAGUUGUACAACUGAAUGCAUUCAACUGAAAUGUGUCUUCCGCAUUUAACCCAACCCCUCUGCAGCUUUGUGUCAUGUUUGUGUAGUGAGUUUAUUUAGGUGGUAUUAUCAUUGUCUGUCUGCUGAGGAUUGUGCUGGAAUAUGACACUUUUCCAGCUGUUUGGCGAGAAUGAAAAAAAAAAGUUAAGUGACUUGUGAGUAGCAUUGUGUUUAUUUAUUUAAUCAAGUAUUUUCUUUUUGCUGACAGUAUAAUAGAACUUAAUCCGUGCCAAUAAUACUAAUCUAAUCUUUUUCUAUGUUUGCUUACUGUAUGUGUCCCUUAGUAGCUGGUGCCCAUGUAAAAAUAUACAUACAUAUAUUACAGAACAUUAUAUAUAAACAAUAUCAAC